GGGUUCUGGGAGGCACCGCCUCGGGGUUGCGGGCCGGGUGCGGCUCGGCGGUGGAGGACUCACUUCCUGCUCCAUCCCCGGCUGGGCCCUGGGGCGAAUUUCCAGGCCUAGUGUAAUCUCCCAGCUGGAGCAGAAAGAAGAGCCAUGGGUCCUACCACUCCAAAACUUUGAGGCGAGGAAGAUCCUGAGGGAAAGCCACACAGACUGUGAGCAUCAGGUGGCAAAGCUCAAUCAGGACAGUUCUGAAACAGCAGAACAAUGUGGAACAUCCUCAGAAAGGACCAAUAAAGAUCUUUCUCAUACUCUUAGUUGGGGAGGAAACUGGGAGCAGGGCCUAGAAUUAGAAGGGCAACAUGGAACCCUUCCAGGAGAGGGCCAGCUGGAGUCCUUUUCACAGGAGAGGGAUUUAAACAAGCUCCUGGAUGGAUAUGUAGGAGAGAAGCCUAUGUGUGCAGAAUGCGGGAAAAGCUUUAACCAGAGUUCCUAUCUCAUAAGACACCUAAGAACCCACACUGGCGAGAGGCCCUAUACGUGCAUUGAGUGUGGGAAAGGCUUCAAACAGAGCUCAGACCUUGUCACCCAUCGCAGAACACACACAG
rnacentral:sRNA from 1 species